AUUUUGGAGAGUUUGAUCCUGGCUCAGAACGAACGCUGGCGGCGUGCCUAACACAUGCAAGUCGAGCGAGAAAGUUCCGGCAACGGGAUGAGUAAAGCGGCAAACGGGUGAGUAACGCGUAGGUAAUCUAUCCUUCGGAUCGGGAUAACCUGCUGAAAGGUGGGCUAAUACCGGAUAAUGUCCUUGUGGGGAUCCCAUGAGAACCAAAGGGGGCGAGCGUAAGCAGCUUCCACCAGAGGAGGAGCCUGCGUCCGAUUAGCUAGUUGGUGGGGUAACGGCCUACCAAGGCGACGAUCGGUAGCCGGCCUGAGAGGGCGACCGGCCACACUGGAACUGAGACACGGUCCAGACUCCUACGGGAGGCAGCAGUGGGGAAUAUUGCGCAAUGGGCGAAAGCCUGACGCAGCGACGCCGCGUG
rnacentral:rRNA from 1 species